GCCGGUAAAGAGGAGAGGGGGGUUGGAGAGAAGGGGAGCAAGUGCUGCAAGAGGUUGGGGUGUCAGGGUGUGGAGUGAGAAGAAGGCCAGCACCUGGGGCCGAGGGACAAGGCAGAAAAAAAGAAAAAAAAAAAAAAAGAACCGCACAAAACAGGCAGAGUGACCUUCCCAUUGGCAAAUCGAAGUCCUCGGGAUAUCUCUAUCCUAACCCAAGCCACACUGGAAUACUUCACAAUCUGACUUCCCCGUGUGAUCUGACCUAUGCUGUUCUCGAUAUCCUCAUCCCUAUCUCUGCCUGACAAAGCAUCCUAAUACCUGGGGUAAUGGUGUUGCUUCAUGUUGCCAGGGCACAAUCAUUUACUGGAAGAAGCAGCUGUGAGUGAAAGUUCACCAUUUCACUCUGAGCUCCAAAGAAGCGCUUUAACUUGUACAGUGAGAUGUCAAGAUACUAAUGAUUCCUUGUUCUUGGAGAAUGGGGAUUGUGACACCAAAGGUGACUUGUCUCAUCAAAAUACAGCAGGGUUCCUCUCUGGCCUGAGGGAGGAUUAUGACUUGAAACUCCAAAGACAACCCCAAGUCAGUGUGUGGGCAGCAUAUGAACUCCUCUGGACUCCAACAAAACAAACAGAAUGAAGAUGCUCUUCCAAAGCCCGUUGAGGGCUCAUACUCCCUAUCAGAAAGCAGUAGCUCUCACCUUCCUUGUGUACUAUCAAAAGAGCUGGGUCUCAUGAUGCUCAGGAGGAUUUCACUCUAACUUAACUUUGAAUUCCAUGUUUCUUACUGGUAUUCAAUGGUAGCCUUGAUUAGAGACCCACCCCUCUUUUCAUAUCCUGCUUGUGGUUAUUCCUUAGUUUGAUGGCAUAAGCAUCUGGGAAUAUUCCUAUGACCUUCU